rnacentral:rRNA from 1 species
AUGCACGCUGGCGGCGUGCCUCAUACAUGCCAGUCGAGCGAACGGACGAGAAGCUUGCUUCUCUGAUGUUAGCGGCGGACGGGUGAGUAACACGUGGAUAACCUACCUAUAAGACUGGGAUAACUUCGGGAAACCGGAGCUAAUACCGGAUAAUAUUUUGAACCGCAUGGUUCAAAAGUGAAAGACGGUCUUGCUGUCACUUAUAGAUGGAUCCGCGCUGCAUUAGCUAGUUGGUAAGGUAACGGCUUACCAAGGCAACGAUGCAUAGCCGACCUGAGAGGGUGAUCGGCCACACUGGAACUGAGACACGGUCCAGACUCCUACGGGAGGCAGCAGUAGGGAAUCUUCCGCAAUGGGCGAAAGCCUGACGGAGCAACGCCGCGUGAGUGAUGAAGGUCUUCGGAUCGUAAAACUCUGUUAUUAGGGAAGAACAUAUGUGUAAGUAACUGUGCACAUCUUGACGGUACCUAAUCAGAAAGCCACGGCUAACUACGUG